rnacentral:rRNA from 1 species
AGUGAACGCUGGCGGCGUGCCUAACACAUGCAAGUCGAACGAUGAUGGAUGAGCUUGCUCAUCUUGAUUAGUGGCGCACGGGUGAGUAUACCAUAGAUAAUGUACCCCUUAGUUCGGGAUAGCCACUGGAAACGGUGAUUAAUACCGGAUACUCCUUCUCGUUAUAAGACGAGUCGGGAAAGUUUUUUCGCUAAGGGAUCAGUCUAUGUCCUAUCAGCUAGUUGGUGAGGUAAUGGCUCACCAAGGCUAUGACGGGUAUCUGGUUUGAGAGGAUGAUCAGACACACUGGAACUGAGACACGGUCCAGACUCCUACGGGAGGCAGCAGUGAGGAAUAUUGCACAAUGGAGGAAACUCUGAUGCAGCAACGCCGCGUGGAGGAUGACGCAUUUCGGUGUGUAAACUCCUUUUAAGAGGGAAGAUAAUGACGGUACCUCUUGAAUAAGCACCGGCUAACUCCGUG